rnacentral:rRNA from 1 species
GGGGAAUAUUGGACAAUGGGGGCAACCCUGAUCCAGCAAUGCCGCGUGAGUGAUGAAGGCCUUCGGGUCGUAAAGCACUUUUCUGAGAGAUGAGAAAGGACAGUAUCUCAGGAAUAAGUCUCGGCUAACUACGUGCCAGCAGCCGCGGUAACACGUAGGAGGCGAGCGUUAUCCGGAUUCACUGGGCGUAAAGCGCGUGCAGGCGGUUUGGUAAGUUGAUCGUGAAAGCUCCCGGCUCAACUGGGAGAGGUCGUUCAAUACUACCGAACUAGAGAGUAGAAGAGGAAGAUGGAAUUCCCGGUGUAGUGGUGAAAUGCGUAGAUAUCGGGAGGAACACCAGUGGCGAAGGCGAUCUUCUGGUCUAUUUCUGACGCUCAGACGCGACAGCUAGGGUAGUAAA